UGGCAGUGGAGGUGAGGGUGUUUUGCUGGAGAUCUCUUCCUACCUGAGGGUUUCCAAAAUUUCUAUUCUGGGUAAUGAAGGAAAGCCUUUACAUCUGACCAGCCCUGGGUUACUGCUAUUUGGGAAAGGGAAGCUCAGACUGAAGAUGUAGCUGUUUAAAUCUCGGACUGACAUGGAGUUAAUCCAUGGAUGGGAAAGAAUUGCAGUAGCCACCAUGAAGCACUUGCGCUGCUCCUCUGUCAAUUUGCUGAUUCCAGCUAUUGUGGGCUUGUUAUUAUACAUCAGAGUUUUUAAAAAUCAAUUUCCUCCCUUUGCUGGCUUUUCUAUAGGUCUAUCUGGUCCCUCAUUCCUUUUCUGUGAUGUAUCAUGGUACAACUCUUGUACUCUUGUGGUUUGUUUGUAGUAUUGCCCAUAAUGUACUUAGCUUGUGCAAAGCUUUUGACUUGCACUGUUUGGUUAUGUUAGGUCCUUUUUUCUUUCUGUUUUCCUGUAUUUAAAUCAACUUUUUUCUCUGCUGCCUAGAUAAAGGUGAAGAUCUACCUUUUUGAAUUCACUAGGAGACCAACCAGUGUUAAGACAGGGGAGAAAAGACGAUGCUGUUCUAAAGACAAAUUAUAGUGAUAUUACAGAUUCUUACAAAGACUAAAUCGUGUAAUCUCUUAGCUCAAUGUACAGUAUUUCCACAUUGCAGUUCCAAAAUUAUAUCUGUGCUCUACAGAUUUGGAAAAUUAUGUUGUGUCAAAAUUAAUCAAUGCCUUCCUUCCCCUGAAGAUCUCAGUCUGUAACAUCAUUUUCACUUUCUCAGGAAGUAUUUUGUCUUCGUUGCUUUAAGUCUCUACUGGAUGUUUAUUCUUGAAUACAGUCCAUGGCAAAGGACAGAAAUGUACACAGCUGCUAUUUUCAAAAUAAGGGGGUUGGUAUUUGUGGUGCCCUCUUGCUUAACUUGUAGGCAAUUUGUGGUUUUUGGUAAUUAAAGUGGCAUUUCGGGGGGGAAAAAAAGUUAUGUUUUUCUGUAAGAUUUUAAUGAAGUUAUCAUCUUCAUAGCAAUCCCACCUUUACAUCUUCUUAGUUCUAUGAACUUUUGCAGGUCGGCUUUACUGCAGUUGUUAAUGAGUUUUUGCUGUACGGCUAGUAAAGAUUUUGGUCUGCAGUGUUGCACAGUACUUCAAGAACACAAAAUAUGAGUAAAAUAUUUUUGCUAUUAGCUCAUUUGUGCUACUACCUACUUUAUGUCUAACUGGUCACUUAGUAUAAUAAAAUCAAGGUAUAAUUCCAUAUCAGCUGGUACUUAAAGUCACUGCUUCAGUUUCAGAUUGAGGGAGAAUUUGCUGGAGAUGAAGGCAUGUUAUUUCCAAGCAAUAUCAUUUGAUCUGAUUUAUAAAAAAAAAUAUUCUGCUGUGAAGUUGUCUCAUUUACGAUGUAGUAUUGUUGCUGUACAGUUGACAUUAAUGACCUCUAAUGGGGUAGCAGACUGUUUACUUUGCUCUAAUCUCACUGACAUGAAGGAAAUGCCCAUUACAGGCAGGUUUUCCAAAUGCGCAAUCAUUUCCUUUUGUGGAGAACCACAGUGAAAUCUCUAAUUCUCUCAGGGCAGAAGACAUGGCACUUUCUCAUAUAGAGGCCCCUCUCUGGGAUUCAGCUUCUCAGGCAAGCCUUGAGAAAAGACAUCUCCACGUUUGCUAUACUUUCUAUCAUACUCUGUGCUUCCCUAACUACCUCUCUCUGCUUUUCAAAAAUUUAAUUUUCGUAGCACUCCAUGAGGAAUGCAAGACUAACCUAAUUAAAACUAUAGAUAUUAUGGAAGAGUCCUAGAAAUCACCAGCUUUAGAUCAUUCAUUAAAAUAAAUCAACAGCAGUUGAAGAUAACGGCAUCAAACUUCCUUGUUAAAAAGCCAUAAAACAAGUGUGCAGUCAGAACCUCCACAGGUUUAAUAAUCUAUAUAUGUGAGCUUGCUGUUAUCCUGAUUAGGUUACCAAAAUAACAAAUGUUGGUCCUCUCUUAGAUUUUUAAACAUGGCUCUGCCACCCAUGAACUUAUAACAACCAAAAAAACCCAACCUUAUGCACAAGUAUGAGAUGUUACACCGCUGAGAUGCCAUUUGACAUGAAUAAAGAAAUAAAUGAGAUACCAUUUGACAUGAAUUUGACAGGAAUAAAGGAGAAGUCAAUAUUGUGCAUAGGCAAAAGGAAGACCUGCAAAAAGAGUUUAAUAAUUCCUGUGAAAUUAGAAUUAUGUUCUUCCCGUGUGCUGUUUGAGUAACAUGAGUAAUAAAGCGUAGCUUAUUUCACUGAUUGCAGUUUGAUAGAGAAAUCACAUUUUAUUAAGAAAAGCAGGGUUUGUGUCAGCACUUCAACAUCAGGUGUUGAGAAAUUUUAGGGGAGAGGGGAAACCUGCAAAAAAUAUAGAGUUUUUGCUUAGCAGUUGGCCAAAGGAUUUGUUCAGAGAAGCUGUUUGGUUCACUUAACUAGCACAAAGCACAGACA